AUCUGUCAUUGAAGUUCGUGAUGAGUUGACAUUUCUAGAUUUAAUUGUCAUCCAAAUUGAGAAUCUUAAUUCCAAAUACGGAAGCAAUGUUCCUUUGCUUUUAAUGAAUUCAUUCAACACUCAUGAUGACACUCAAAAGGUACUUG